CCUUCUGCACUCCUGGGUUAGCCUAAGCGGCUCUGCAACUUGAAUGAUGGGUUGCAUCCAGAGCUUGAGACGUGAAGAUCUCCCUUUUGACGCUAGUGGUUCUGGAACUCCGCCACCAGUGUUGCCGUCUCACGAGGCAAUUUACUUAUAUGGAGCUAGCAAUAGCAACUGAACAUUUCUCCAACAAUGUAAUCCUUGGCGAGGGUGGUUUUGGUCAAGUCUAUAAGGGAUUUAUAGAUGGUAAACUCUAUGCUGUUAAGAAACUUAAAAAUCAACCAGAUGAACAAACUCAAGCAACUAUGGAGGAGGAGAUUAGGGUCAUAAGCAGAGUCCGUCACCGGAAUCUUGUUGAGCUGAUAGGGUACUGCAUUCAAGGAAACAAUAGACUGCUGGUUUUAGAGUUUCUUUCCAACAAGUCCUUGAAAUUUCAUCUACAUGGGAAGGAAGUGUUGGAGUGGUCAAAGGAAGUGUUGGAGUGGUCAAACAGAAUGAAAAUUGCUAUAGGUUUGCAAAAGGAUUGAAGUACCUACAUGAAGAUUGUAAACCUACGAUUAUACAUCGAGAUAUAAAGGCGGACAACAUUGUUCUUGAUGAAAAUUUUGAACCGAAGGUUACAGAUUUUGGAUUAUCCUUAUUUUUUCCAGAAAAUGUUACUCACAUUUCCAAAUCCAUCAAGGGAACUGAAGUAUAUGUAGAUCCUGAUUGUUCUGGAAAAGUUUCUUAUAAAUCAGAUGUAUAUUCUUUUGGUGUUGUGCUUUUAGAGUUGAUCACAGGAAAAAAACCUAUGAUUGGAGACACUACCAUUGUUAAUUGGGCAAAGGCUCGAAUUAGACCAGCUUUAGAAGGCGAUUAUAAGGCCCUUGUUGAUUCCAAACUGUCACAAUAUGAUAAAGAGGAAAUGAAUCGUAUGAUUUUCUGUGCAGCGGCUUGCUUAUAUAAACCUUUAAAAUCUCGUCCAUCAAUGGGACAGAUAAUUCAAAUUCUUGAAGCAGUUGUUCCUUUGAAACAUAUAUGGGACGAGAACGACCACAACUAUCUAAAUGGUAAUUGAAGUCUCACGAGGAAAUGACACUGGAGCGUGUAUGAGUGAGCGAGGACAGGACAGUAAAUUCUAAUACGAUGAAGCUCCCCGUCCGUCAUUGGUUUUUAAUUUUCGUUCAUGGCUUCGGAAAGUCCCCAACAGCGGAAACGGUCUUCCUUGCUGGGUCAGCUCUUCAGGAUUCAUGUCUUUUCACAAAUCUACCCUUCUCAAGUAAAGCCAAAAGCCUCUUGUCGGUGUGAAUUUUAAUAAAAUCCAUAUU